rnacentral:rRNA from 1 species
GAUGAACGCUGGCGGCGUGCCUAAUACAUGCAAGUCGAGCGAACAGACGAGGAGCUUGCUCCUCUGACGUUAGCGGCGGACGGGUGAGUAACACGUGGAUAACCUACCUAUAAGACUGGGAUAACUUCGGGAAACCGGAUCUAAUACCGGAUAAUAUAUUGAACCGCAUGGUUCAAUAGUGAAAGACGGUUUUGCUGUCUCUUAUAGAUGGAUCCGCGCCGCAUUAGAUAGUUGGUAAGGUAACGGCUUACCAAGGCAACGAUGCGUAGCCGACCUGAGAGGGUGAUAGGCCACACUGGAGCGGGGACACGGUCAAGACGACUACGGGAGGGAGCAGUAGGGAAUCUGCCGCAAUAGGCGAAAGCCUGACGGAGCAACGCCGCGUGAGUGAUGAAGGUCUUCGGAUCGUAAAACUCUGUUAUUAGGGAAGAACAAAUGUGUAAGUAACUAUGCACGUCUUGACGGUACCUAAUCAGAAAGCCACGGCUAACUACGUG